rnacentral:rRNA from 1 species
CGCGUAGGCGGGUCUUUAAGUCAGAGGUGAAAUGCCGAGGCUCAACCUCGGAACUGCCUUUGAAACUGGGGACCUUGAGGUAUGGAGAGGGAAGUGGAAUUCCUGGUGUAGCGGUGAAAUGCGUAGAUAUCAGGAGGAACACCCGUGGCGAAGGCGGCUUCCUGGCCAUAUCCUGACGCUGAGGUGCGAAAGCUAGGGGAGCGAACGGGAUUAGAUACCCCGGUAGUCCUAGCCGUAAACGAUGGAUACUAGGUGUUAGAGGUAUCGACCCCUCUAGUGCCGCAGCUAACGCAAUAAGUAUCCCGCCUGGGGAGUACGGCCGCAAGGUUGAAA